GAUGAAGAACGCAGCGAAAUGCGAUACGUAAUGUGAAUUGCAGAAUUCAGUGAAUCAUCGAAUCUUUGAACGCACAUUGCGCCUGCCAGCACUCUGGCAGGCAUGCCUGUUCGAGCGUCAUUUCAACCAUCAAGCCCUAGGCUUGCGUUGGAGCCCUGCGGCUGCCGCAGGCCCCUAAAAGCAGUGGCGGACUCGCUAUCACACCGAGUGCAGUAGAUUACUCUUCGCUCAGGGCGUGUGGCGGGUUCCAGCCGUGAAACCCCCUACUUCUCAAGGUUGACCUCGGAUCAGGUAGGAAUACCCGCUGAACUUAAGCAUAUCAAUAAGGGAGGA
rnacentral:misc_RNA from 1 species